UACGUAGGGGGCAAGCGUUGUUCGGAUUUACUGGGCGUAAAGGGCGCGUAGGCGGCCACCGCAAGUCGACUGUGAAAUCUCCGGGCUUAACCCGGAAAGGUCAGCCGAUACUGCGGGGCUAGAGUGCAGAAGGGGCAACUGGAAUUCUCGGUGUAGCGGUGAAAUGCGUAGAUAUCGAGAGGAACACCAAUGGCGAAGGCAGCCUUCUGGGCCAACACUGACGCUCAUGCACGAAAGCGUGGGGAGCAAACAGG
rnacentral:rRNA from 1 species